rnacentral:rRNA from 1 species
AUUGAACGCUGGCGGCAGGCCUAACACAUGCAAGUCGAGCGGAUGAAGGGAGCUUGCUCCUGGAUCCAGCGGCGGACGGGUGAGUAAUGCCUAGGAAUCUGCCUGGUUGUGGGGGAUAAUGUCCGGAAACGGGUGCUAAUACUGCAUAAGUCCUGCGGGAGAAAGUGGGGGAUCUUCGGACCUCACGCUAUCAGAUGAGCCUAGGUCGGAUUAGCUAGUUGGUGGGGUAAAGGCCUACCAAGGCGACGAUCCGUAACUGGUCUGAGAGGAUGAUCGGUCACACUGGAGCUGGGACACGGCCCAGACUCCUACGGGAGGCAGCAGUGGGGAAUAUUAGACAAUGGGCGAAAGCCUGGUCCAGCCAUGCCGCGUGUGUGAAGAAGGUCUUCGGAUUGUAAAGCACUUUAAGUUGGGAGGAAGGGCAGUAAGUUAAUACCUUGCUGUUUUGACGUUACCAACAGAAUAAGCACCGGCUAACUUCGUG